rnacentral:lncRNA from 1 species
CCCAAACACUUUUUAUUGUUGUACCUAUUGUUAACAAGACGGCCAUCAACCAAAGAACAUUAUUUAUAUAUCUUUGGGUUAUCAUACAGUCUUCAACAAUGAGCUAAAGCCCACACCAUGUCAAAUAUAACCAGACAAUGACUUUAUUUAAAGUUCAUCAAUUUUGUUUUGAGAUUAUUUUUCAAACUUGGGUCUAAUGGAGCAGUUAUUGGAUCAGGUUUCCUGAGGCAGAAUGUUGCUAUGGCAUUUUGCAUGUUGAGCGCCUUAAGAAGACAACAGCUUGAAUAUUGCUACAGUAUAAAAUUAUGGACUGCAAGACAAAGAAAAUACAGGAUGAAUGAAACUUAUUAGUUUAGGUGGAAACACAGUUGAACACAACCACUAACCAAUUUUGAUUCCG